rnacentral:rRNA from 1 species
GUGUCAGCAGCCGCGGUAACACGUAGGGGGCAAGCGUUGUCCGGAUUUAUUGGGCGUAAAGAGCUCGUAGGCGGCUUGGUAAGUCGGGUGUGAAAACUCGGGGCUCAACCCCGAGACGCCACUCGAUACUGCUAUGGCUUGAGUCCGGUAGGGGAGCAGGGAAUUCCUGGUGUAGCGGUGAAAUGCGCAGAUAUCAGGAGGAACACCGGUGGCGAAGGCGCUGCUCUGGGCCGGUACUGACGCUGAGGAGCGAAAGCGUGGGUAGCAAACAGGAUUAGAUACCCUCGUAGUCC